GGGUGCAAUCAUACCAACUUAAUGCAUAGGAUCCCAUCAAAACUCCGCAGUUAAGUGCACUUGGGAUAGAUUAGUACUGGGAUGGGAGACCUCCCGGGAAGUCCUAGUGUUGCACUUU
rnacentral:rRNA from 1 species